GGUCGGUUCGUCUAACGGUUAGGAUCGGUGAUUCUCAAUCAUCAGAUACGAGUUCGAUUCUCGUACCGACUA
rnacentral:tRNA from 1 species